CGCUGGGUGUCGCCCACGGUGGGGCCGCGGCGCGGAGGCGGGGCGCGUGGCGCUGCACAAAAUGAGCGGCGCCGUUGUUGUGGCCGUCGCCAUCUUGGCUCGCCGCCUCCCUCGGCGUGGGGCGGGGGGAGGCGGGGGAAGCUGCCGCCCUAAGGCGAGGUUUAACCCUCGGGAGGCCGCCGUCGCUGCCGUGUGCCAGGACGCGUCUUGUCCUUUAACGGCGCACACGGCGGCGUAGGAACGCCGUCACGGGCAGGGUGGGCGGCUGAGAGGAAGCCUCGCCCACGGCUUUGCAUGCGAGGAGGAGCCGUGCAACGGCAGUGGCGAGCGGGGCUGCGCGCGUUUGAAGAGCAGUUGAUGCCACAAAGGAAUGCGGCGUGCGGAGCGUGCUUUGGGCUUUGCGAGCACCUGAUACAAUUUGCUGGAAAAUUGAAUUUGGGGGCACAGUGAAAAUCAAAUCAGGGACAGAAAAGUGAUAAGAAUGCUGAGCAAGGGCUUGUCCUAGGAAUCACAGAUGAAGACUGAUUUUGCAGCUGUGGGAAUGGCAGAGCGCUCCCAGCUGCCUGGAAACCGAAAUCAAGAGAUGUGGAGAAUGCAGUAUCGUCUUGGUUGAUCGUUGUACAGUAAAAGGCUGUAGUUUAGUUCAAGCAGCAUUUUGGAGGCAGGCUCUCACCUUUCCUGCAUGGGAUUUUCCCUUAAGAUGGUGCCACCCUUAGAGGCCAGGAACGGGAGUUCUCCUUGCAUUAACACCGUCCUCCUUCUACAAACUGAGGCAAAAACCAUGACAACAGUGCAGCCCUGGUUUGUGCCCUGGAGGGUAUUUGCCCAGCCACAACUGUCGCCAGCCGGGUGCCACAGGUCUGUGAUGCCUUAACAAGAACUAGUGGCAAUAUGAUAAUAUGAAAUGAUGCUUUCCUCUUCUGCCUGUUUCUUUGCCUACUCAGUCUGUGAACUUUCCAAAAUAGCUUACUACAGCCCUUCAUCG
rnacentral:lncRNA from 1 species